rnacentral:rRNA from 1 species
AACUAACAACAACGGAUCUCUUGCUUCCGGCAUCGAUGAAGAACGCAGCGAAAUGCGAUAAGUAAUGUGAAUGACAGAGUGCCGUGACUCAUCGAAUCUUUGAACGCACAUUGCGGUCUCUGGUAGUCCGGGAGGUCAUGCCUGUUCGAGCGUCA